rnacentral:tRNA from 1 species
AAGGUUUUAAGUUAAUAUAAACUAGUAAUCUUCAAAAUUAUCUAUAAAGAAAUUUCUUUAAGCCUUA